rnacentral:rRNA from 1 species
UAUUUUUCCNCCGUUAUGAUAGCCUUAAGUUCAGCGGGGACCUGUUCUCUCUUCUUUUGUGUCCCUGCCUUCGGCCGCUCUUCUUUCUCUCCUUCCUCUCCCCUUUGCUUUGUUGUAUUUGGUGUUCCUCUGUCUUCGCUUUUUUUUCCUUUUGGUGGGUCGUGUUGGGGGGUGUGUUGGUAGGGGGGUUGUGGUUUGUUUGUGUGGGGUUGUUUGGGAAGGUAAGUCGUAACAAGGUUUCCGUAGGUGAACCUGCGGAAGGAUCAUUAC